UGGGGAGCGAACAGGAUUAGAUACCCUGGUAGUCCAUGCCGUAAACGUUGGGCGCUAGAUGUAGGGACCUUUCCACGGUUUCUGUGUCGUAGCUAACGCAUUAAGCGCCCCGCCUGGGGAGUACGGCCGCAAGGCUAAAACUCAAAGGAAUUGACGGGGGCCCGCACAAGCGGCGGAGCAUGCGGAUUAAUUCGAUGCAACGCGAAGAACCUUACCAAGGCUUGACAUACACCGGAAACGGCCAGAGAUGGUCGCCCCCUUGUGGUCGGUGUACAGGUGGUGCAUGGUUGUCGUCAGCUCGUGUCGUGAGAUGUUGGGUUAAGUCCCGCAACGAGCGCAACCCUCGUUCUAUGUUGCCAGCGGGUUAUGCCGGGGACUCAUAGGAGACUGCCGGGGUCAACUCGGAGGAAGGUGGGGAUGACGUCAAAUCAUCAUGCCCCUUAUGUCUUGGGCUUCACGCAUGCUACAAUGGCCGGUACAAAGGGCUGCGAUACCGUAAGGUGGAGCGAAUCCCAAAAAGCCGGUCUCAGUUCGGAUUGAGGUCUGCAACUCGACCUCAUGAAGUCGGAGUCGCUAGUAAUCGCAGAUCAGCAACGCUGCGGUGAAUACGUUCCCGGGCCUUGU
rnacentral:rRNA from 1 species